rnacentral:lncRNA from 1 species
GCGACGCUCGCGUUGACCCUGAGCAUCCGUGGACACUAAAAAGAACAUUUCUGAAAUUAAAGAAGCUCAUGAAGAGUUUAUCAGAAACAUAACUCUCCCACGGCACAAGUUAAGGCUCCUUGGGGACUUCUCCAGUCAAGAAUGACCCCAGUAAUGGUGGGGGCUGUGUCCUUGGCCACCCCCCCACCCCCCGCCAGAUCCAGUGCCAUAGACCGGAGUCUGGGGAACCUCCCAGAGGGGAGGUUGAGCAGCUGGCCUGCCCCAGAGAAGAGUUUCGAGCAGGAGAGUGAAGAGAGGAGCCAGGAAGGUGACCAGAGUGACCAGAACUGCCAGCCAGACAGAUGUAAAGCUCUUUGAGGAAGAACCACCCCGUGUCCCUUGGACUCACAGCACCAAGGGACACCAAGCACCGAGGGACUCGGGAUGACGUGGGG